CGAUAGCGGACAAGUACCGUGAGGGAAAGGUGAAAAGUACCCCGGGAGGGGAGUGAAAUAGUACCUGAAACCAUGUGCUUACAAUCCGUCGGAGCCGGUCUGAUGCUGGUGACGGCGUGCCUUUUGAAGAAUGAGCCUGCGAGUUAGUGGUGCGUGGCGAGGUUAACCCGUGUGGGGAAGUCGUAGCGAAAGCGAGUCUGAAGAGGGCGUUUCAGUGGCACGGUCUAGACCCGAAGCGGGGUGAUCUACCCAUGGCCAGUGUGAAGCAGCUGUAAGAGGUUGUGGAGGCGCGAACCCACGUAGGUUAAAAACUGCGGGGAUGAGUUGUGGGUAGGGGUGAAAGGCCAAUCAAACUCCGUGAUAGCUGGUUCUCUCCGAAAUGCAUUUAGGUGCAGCGUUGCGUGU
rnacentral:rRNA from 11 species